rnacentral:rRNA from 1 species
UACGUAGGGGGCGAGCGUUGUCCGGAUUUACUGGGCGUAAAGCGCGUGUAGGCGGCUUUUUAAGUCGGGUGUGAAAGCCCGGGGCUCAACCCCGGGAUGCCGCCCGAGACUGGAAGGCUUGAGGUCGGAAGAGGGGAGUGGAAUUCCUGGUGUAGCGGUGAAAUGCGCAGAUAUCAGGAAGAACACCCGUGGCGAAAGCGGCUCUCUGGAACGGUACUGACGCUGAGACGCGAAAGCGUGGGGAGCGAACAGG